rnacentral:lncRNA from 1 species
GUGAAUCUUUAGCAAAAGCUGUAAUAGCAAAAAGCGAUGUAUUUCUUUUCGAAAAAAUGAAAAUGAAGAAAAAUAACUUGGUUGCAGUUCUUUCAAAAUUAGAAAAAUCAUUUAGAAUUCAUUUCGAUUUACUACUCAAAAGUUUUUCAGAUGGGUAUAGAAGUGUUAUUCAUUUUACUAAACAAGAAGAUAAUCAAAACUACGGUGAUCGAAUUCCUGCCAUUUGGGUUUUUGAGCAAAAGUUAACCAUUGCUUUUGCAAUAAGUGGUGAAAAAAAUUAUUAUUUUAAUUCCAACCCACUUCCACUAAACCGUUAUAUAGAUGUUCAAGUAGAACAACAAGUUUAACCGGAAAAAACAAUUUUUUUUGUGCUUAUUGACGGCAAAUUAGUAUAUGAAGUAGAAAACUUAGUCGCACAAGAAUUUACAGAUAUCAACGUAUUCGCUGGAGAUCCAUGGUAUCCAGUCCAGGAUGGCUUCAUUAUGGGAUUCACUGUUAGUAAUGGGCCUAGCGAUUAUAAAAAAAGUUUGAAAAAAGACGC